ACAGUCGGGACUUCAGCUGAGGUCAGUGUAGCAACUGAGGCUAAUCCUUCUAGCCUAAGUAGAUCCCAGAGGCUCUGAUUGCAAGAAAUGCUGUCUUUUUUUUUUUUUUUUUUUUAAUGGAGGAUAAUUUUGCUUUACAAUGUUGUGUUGGCUUCUGCCAUACAGCAACAUGAAUCAGCCGGGCCCCCUGCUGACAGCUGCUGAUGCACAGGUCAUGUUGGAGGAGGCCCAGCUUGGGCAGAGCAGAGAUGGGCUUUGUUUCUCCAGUUCAGUGUUGGACAACCUGUUCUACCACAGGCUGGAGGAUGCCACACCCCUGCGUAAUUUGCACUGCAGAAUGAGG
ensembl:lncRNA